AAGAUCAUACUUCACAGGAUCAGUUCUGUAGGAGUCGAUCUCAUUCUCCCUCCCUAACAUGGGAGUCGAUGUAACCACGAUGACGAGUGAAUAGUCCUCUUCUCUGAGCGUGAGAACGACACGAGUUCUCGACUUGUUCGAGAGCUCUGUCAUCAAUGAUCGUUCACUCUCUGUACUCAGUACAGAGAGGAUGGGAAGC
rnacentral:snoRNA from 1 species